GCUGUUACACCGGAAAUGCCCUAGAGCACCAGGAACUGACAGAAGGUCAAAAUUCCAACAUGGCGGCGCGCGGUGUGUUAGGGUCUAUCUGGAUUUCGUUAUCUGGUGUUAAAGGUGUUGCGAGCAGAGGCAGUGUAAAUGUUCUGAAGAGGAUUAAUAUUUUUCCCCAACUUCCAGCUUUUGUAAAUAUUCAGACAAGAGGAAUCCGGGAGGUGGUGGAAAAGCAAGACGGCAAAACGACGAUCAUUGAGGGGGUGAUGGUGGAGUCGCCCGCAGGUCUGCAGCCCCCCAACUCCACAGCUAAGUGUCCCAUGUACCGCUGGAACCUGCAGAACAAGUACAACUACACGGACGUUCUCCUGCUCAGUCAGUUCAUCCGUUCGGACGGAGGAAUGCUGCCUCGACGAAUCACAGGCCUCUGUGCUGACGAGCACCGCAAGAUCUCCGCCUGCGUCCAGAUGGCCUUCAGAGCAGGUCUCCUCCCUGACCACAAGCCCAAACUACCCGAGGGCCAUGUUCCAAAGAGGCCCAAGCCCCAGCUCAACAGGUACCUGACGCGCUGGUCGGUGGACUCUGUGAAGCCCAUCUACCGGUCUGGUCUGAAGUGGUGCAAGAAAAGAGUUUCUGUCGGCCAUGUUGCUCUUUCUGACAACAUACGCUACGGCAAGAAGCCCCUGUACCUCAAACACUGACCGCUGUACCUCAAACACUGACCCGAGCCCUGACCUCCAACCUUUACCCCUGACCUCCAACCUUGACCCCUGACACUGGCCCUGACCUCCAACCUUGACCCCUGACACUGGCCCUGACCCCUGUACCUCAAACACUGACCCCAUGCCUGUCUUCAAGAAUGGCCCUCUUGUUUUGGAUUGGUCCGUUGAACUUUCAGGAGACUCCAUUGGAGUGCAGCUGUUCUGGUAUUGAUAUAUUGUCGGGUCAAAGGUCAUCUCCACACCCUCAAACAGCCAGACCAGUUACUGUUUCUGCUUCUAUUUGAAGAUGCCCAGAACAUUAACUCUUAACUCUGCCACAGCCUUCUGGAAGCCAGUCCGUCUCACAGCUUCGAUGUAGGUGGGAUGUGUAGCGUGUAUGAGCGUGUAUACGUAACAUCAACCCAGAUGUGCAAAUAAAACGUAUCCGUUUACUCCA